GACGAACGCUGGCGGCGUGCUUAACACAUGCAAGUCGAACGGAAAGGCCCUGCUUUUGUGGGGUGCUCGAGUGGCGAACGGGUGAGUAACACGUGAGUAACCUGCCCUUGACUUUGGGAUAACUUCAGGAAACUGGGGCUAAUACCGGAUAGGAGCUCCUGCUGCAUGGUGGGGGUUGGAAAGUUUCGGCGGUUGGGGAUGGACUCGCAGCUUAUCAGCUUGUUGGUGGGGUAGUGGCUUACCAAGGCUUUGACGGGUAGCCGGCCUGAGAGGGUGACCGGCCACAUUGGGACUGAGAUACGGCCCAGACUCCUACGGGAGGCAGCAGUGGGGAAUAUUGCACAAUGGGCGGAAGCCUGAUGCAGCAACGCCGCGUGCGGGAUGACGGCCUUCGGGUUGUAAACCGUUUUCGCCUGUGACGAAGCGUGAGUGACGGUAAUGGGUAAAGAAGCACCGGCUAACUACGUG
rnacentral:rRNA from 1 species